rnacentral:rRNA from 1 species
UACAGAGGUCUCAAGCGUUGUUCGGAUUCAUUGGGCGUAAAGGGUGCGUAGGCGGUCAGCACAAGUCAGUUGUGAAAUCUCCGGGCUUAACUCGGAAAGGUCAACUGAUACUGUGCGACUAGAGUGCGGAAGGGGCAACUGGAAUUCUCGGUGUAGCGGUGAAAUGCGUAGAUAUCGAGAGGAACACCUGCGGCGAAGGCGGGUUGCUGGGCUGACACUGACGCUGAUGCGCGAAAGCCAGGGGAGCGAACGGG